UACGUAGGGGGCUAGCGUUGUCCGGAUUUAUUGGGCGUAAAGAGCGUGUAGGCGGCCAGGUAGGUCUGGUGUGAAAACUCGAGGCUUAACCUCGAGAUGUCAUCGGAAACCAUCUGGCUAGAGUCCGGAAGAGGAGAGUGGAAUUCCUGGUGUAGCGGUGAAAUGCGCAGAUAUCAGGAAGAACACCAAUGGCGAAAGCAGCUCUCUGGGACGGUACUGACGCUGAGACUCGAAAGCGUGGGGGAGCAAACAGG
rnacentral:rRNA from 1 species